rnacentral:rRNA from 1 species
UACGGAGGGAGCUAGCGUUGUUCGGAAUUACUGGGCGUAAAGCGCGCGUAGGCGGCUUUGUAAGUUAGAGGUGAAAGCCUGGAGCUCAACUUCAGAAUUGCCUUUAAGACUGCAUCGCUUGAAUCCGGGAGAGGUGAGUGGAAUUCCGAGUGUAGAGGUGAAAUUCGUAGAUAUUCGGAAGAACACCAGUGGCGAAGGCGGCUCACUGGACCGGCAUUGACGCUGAGGUGCGAAAGCGUGGGGAGCAAACGGG